rnacentral:rRNA from 1 species
ACUUUUUGGUGAGAGUGGCGAACGGGUGAGUAACACGUGAGUAACCUGUCCUUUUCUUUGGGAUAAGCUUCCGAAAGGGUGUUUAAUACCUUAUGUUCUGUCUGCCUCGCAUGGGGUGGGUGGGAAAGAUUUUUUCGGUAAAGGGUGGGCUCGCGGUCUAUCAGCUUGUUGGUGGGGUGAUGGCCUACCAAGGCUUUGACGGGUAGCCGGCCUGAGAGGGUGGUCGGUCACAUUGGGACUGAGAUACGGCCCAGACUCCUGCGGGAGGCAGCAGUGGGGGUUAUUGCACAAUGGGCGAAAGCCUGAUGCAGCGACGCCGCGUGGGGGAUGAAGGCCUUCGGGUUGUAAACUUCUUUUGCUCUGAACAAGGCGCACCGUGGGGUGUGUUGAGUGU